AUACAUAUCUUUAAUCAAACUUUCACAUUAUCCAAAAUAAAAAUUGGAACCAAAAUUAUAAACGGAAAAUUAAUCCUACAAGUACAAGGCUGAUCUAUCUCCUCUUUAUACAUAAGUCGGAAUUCUAUUCUGGGCAAUGAAGUGUAUGAUUGGUGCCGACAAAAAAUAGCUUUUUUUUACAGAUUGUUCAGAUUUGAUGAAGAUGGUGUUUUUCCAAAACGAAUGACCAGCAUUUUCAACAUAUUUGAAGGAGAUUCAGACCGACAAGGAAGAAUUCACUACUUUUUCUUUAUCUUUAAUUUCUCGUAAUGCAAAUGUUAAAGCGGAUUAUUUGGCACGAAAAGUCGUGUAGAACUGCUACACAUUAUUUAUGUAAACAGUUUUCUGCAAUUUUGACUCCUUUGAAUCCUAAAUAAUAUCUGAUAAAAAA
rnacentral:sRNA from 1 species